CUCUGCCACGAUUUCCCACGAAGAGAGAUAGAAUAACAUGGGCCCACCUGUAUAUAUUCAUUAUGAAUAUGGACUCUUGUAGAAUCCCCUCUCUGUACAAAUGAUGGGUGGAAUCGGAAGGAAAUAGCGUGGGCAAUUAUUUGAUAUAUGUAUGUAUGCACAAAGCGUUGGCUGGCAGAGAAGGGAUGAUCACAGAGCCGGGCACUGUGUGUGGCAUAUUCAAAUUCAAAUUAGAUUAUAUGCAAACACCGGCCACUCUUUCACUUGCCGUUCUUUAUUAUUAUAUUGGAAUGCCGUACAAAAACAGCAGAGUCCACGAGGAGUAUGAGGACUCGGAUUCGGAAUCGGACUCGGACUCGGACUACUAAUAUUUGCAUAAUCGCAGGCAGUAGCAGAGCCCAACCCGGACCAAGGCAACAACAAUCCAAGCAACAUGCGGCAAAGCAAUUAUUUCUUUAAAAUAAAUUGCAUGCACAAUUGGUAGCAAUAGCAAUUGCAACAACAGAAGCAGCAGCAGCAGCGGCAGCACCAGCAACAGCAAACAACAAAGUACCCAUGGAAGACCACCAAAGCAUGGAUCCACAGAGUCAGAGUCGGAAUCGGAAUCUGACCGAAUGCAGGUCCCAUCGACGAAUUUGGUCAGGACGGCUUUUUGCUGGCCAUAGAAACCGAGACAGCAGUGGAUAAGGGCGGUUCGGAGAGGCGUGGCAACUUAGCUCGUUUCUGCGAUUUGUGUGUACGCCUCAUUCGUUUAUUUGCAUAUCGAUUUGGAGUUUUUAGUCCGCCAGAACCCACUCGACCAACUUGGUCUCUGUCCGUCUGACUGUCCGUCUGUCUGUCUGUGUAUCUAACUGUCUGCCAGCUUGCCAAAAACUAUUCAUCGGAUCCUUGGCUUUAUUUUGUUUGCAGCACAAACGAUUGCAUAAUUGCCAGGCCCUCUAAAUAAUUCGAGUCUGUUUGGCCAGCAUUUAGCCUUGGGCUGCCCACUCAUAAAUUCAGAGCUCAGCAAUCUGCAAUCUCAAGUGCAAAUUCAAUUUUUAUAGCACACUUAUCCUUACUUUGAUAGUGGCUCCUCCAAUGGCGACAUUAUGUCACCCGAUAUGCUCGAUAAGCACGUGCCAUUAGCUUGAUUCCAUCAAGGAGUCCAUUUGGGCCGUGGGUGGGAGUGCAACAAUUUUCCGCUCGAACAGAAGAACACUUGGACCAAGUUUUCGAGCAGUCACGUAGCCAUAACGCGUCGGCGAGCCUCUUGACUCUGGCCUGGUCCUGCAGCAGCAGCAACAGCAGCAGCUAUAUAUGUAUGUAGUUGUUGCUGGGGAAUUGAAAACUUGAGCCACGGCCAUGACGUUGGUAGCAACUGGCCGCGCUUUGAUGUGCGCCCCAUUACCCGCACCCCAGUCGAGACGUCAAAGGUAAGGAGAGCAACAGCCAUCAUCAUCAUCAGCAACAGCAGUGAAGCAGCAGCAGUAGGAGCAGCAGUAGCAGUAGCAGCUUCAGCUUCCAGCCGCUUCGUGGCCAUCGAUUUGCAAGGCAAAUCAAAGGCUUAAUGAAUUCAUUUCAAUUAAACAAACGAAAAAGAAUCAAAUGAACAGCGAUAGACGAAUGCCAGAGACUGUCGUAGACAGUUUGCAUUAAUAAAUCGUUUAGCUGGGAGCUCCGUUUCUUAUGGGUAGAUGUACAUAUCUCCCUGCCAAUCCGUUUGAACUUGGCAUUUGGCUGGAAUCGGGGCAAAAAGCGGCCCCCAGCAGAAGCUUGUAUUAAUUGAUUCUACCAGAUCUUUGGAUCGAGAUGGGCCCCCCCGUUCGACUGACAACUAAGGAAUGAGGCUGGUGCUGGUAGCCAAAGGUUACUCGGCGUAAUGAAUUCGAAAAAGUUCAUGCUGUUGUGGAUCCAAGGAUUCCAAGAAGAUCUUACUUGUACUCGAAACAAUCAGCGGAUUAUUUGCCCAUAUUAUAUCCAAGCGUAAAUAAGUAUCUUUAAAAAUCAAUAUAUUUUUUUUAAGAACUUUAUCUGUGUAUUUCAUGAACCUUCCAGCCGCGACUUUAUUUACCAACAGCUUAACUUUAUGUGCGGGGUCAGUCACCGAGAUUUUCUGAUUUCUCCCCUUUUUGGGGCAGCAACCGACAGCCGCAUAGCUGAUAAGCCUUAAGCUGCUUAAUCGAUGACCAGAGAGUUGUCAAAAAAUAAUUCACAGGCCCGGACGCGUACUCGGAUGCGGCUGAAAGAUCUACCCUUUGGUGCUUUAAAUGGUCCUCAAUGUAGGUGGAGGAGGAGGAGCGGCAUCGAGGAGUAGGACGGGACCCCCAUUGGACGGCCAAAUCAGAGUCUCCUUGUCGGGAGCCCUUACAUGAGAAAUAUUUUAGCGUACAAUGCAGAAAUGGUAGCAGCUUCGCUGCGUUUCCUUAUCAGUUCCAGCUCCGCUGACGUAUGCACCCCAAAAAGAAGAACAAAGAAGGAGGAGGACCAGAAACAGAAACCGCGCUUGCAGAUAAUGCCACAAUGAAGACAGCAUAACGCGCCGCUGUUGAAAAAUCGCUGCAUGCGCCCGGCCGACAUCAGAUGGCGGGAGAGGAUGCGUCCACAUCAAGAUAAAUGAGCGUGCGUCUUCUUGUUGUGUUGCUGCUGCCGUUGAUGUGGAACCUGUCCCUGCCCCUGCCACUAUAAGCCGGGAAUCAAAGUUAUAAUAAUGCAUAAGUAAUUUGCAGCAGAAGCAAUCGGAGAGAGCCAUCAGCUCGUGCCACGGCUGCUCACUGCCUUGACGACAGCUAAUCCAAACCGGCCAAAACAGCACCCAACAGGGUCAGGACAGUCCUCUUCCCCCUGAAGCCAUCUCUUUCUCUCACUCCCUGCCACUUUUGGAUAGUUAUUUAUUAACUGAGAAGCACUUUAUCUGCAUAUCGUUAAAGGGAUACCAAAUAUUGGAGAACAUGUACUUUAAAAGCAAUUUUAAGAAAUGUAAAACGAAAACUGGAGCAUGUGUUAAUGCUGAGGUUUUGGUUAGCGAGAAAUCUGAUGUAUAGCAAUGGCUCAGCUGGUCCAGCAAGUGUAGUAUUUAAUAAUA